rnacentral:rRNA from 1 species
GAUGAACGCUGGCGGCGUGCCUAAUACAUGCAAGUCGAGCGAACAGACGAGGAGCUUGCUCCUCUGACGUUAGCGGCGGACGGGUGAGUAACACGUGGAUAACCUACCUAUAAGACUGGGAUAACUUCGGGAAACCGGAGCUAAUACCGGAUAAUAUAUUGAACCGCAUGGUUCAAUAGUGAAAGACGGUUUUGCUGUCACUUAUAGAUGGAUCCGCGCCGCAUUAGCUAGUUGGUAAGGUAACGGCUUACCAAGGCAACGAUGCGUAGCCGACCUGAGAGGGUGAUCGGCCACACUGGAACUGAGACACGGUCCAGACUCCUACGGGAGGCAGCAGUAGGGAAUCUUGCGCACUGGGCGAAAGCCUGACGGAGCAACGCCGCGUGAGUGAUGAAGGUCUUCGGAUCGUAAAACUCUGUUAUUAGGGAAGAACAAAUGUGUAAGUAACUAUGCACGUCUUGACGGUACCUAAUCAGAAAGCCACGGCUAACUACGU